rnacentral:rRNA from 1 species
GACGUAGGAGACGAGCGUUGUCCGGAUUUACUGGGCGUAAAGGGCGCGCAGGCGGCCCUGCGCGGCGGGCGUGAAAGCCCCCGGCUCAACCGGGGCGGGUCGUCCGCGACGGCAGGGCUGGAGGGCGGCAGAGGCUGGUGGAAUUCCCGGUGUAGUGGUGAAAUGCGUAGAGAUCGGGAGGAACACCCGUGGCGAAGGCGGCCAGCUGGGCCGGCCCUGACGCUGAGGCGCGAAGGCGCGGGGAGCGAACGGG